rnacentral:rRNA from 1 species
CUACGGCCCUGAACAUGGAUGGACCUGCGGUGCAUUAGCUAGUUGGUGAGGUAACGGCCCACCAAGGCGACGAUGCAUAGCCGACCUGAGAGGGCGAACGGCCACAUUGGGACUGAGACACGGCCCAAACUCCUACGGGAGGCAGCAGUAGGGAAUUUUCGUCAAUGGGGGGAACCCUGAACGAGCAAUGCCGCGUGAGUGAAGACGGUCUUCGGAUUGUAAAGCUCUGUUGCGAGAGAAAAACGACACGGAUAGGGAAUGAUCCGUGGGUGAUGGUAUCUCGCCAGAAAGUCACGGCUAACUACGUGCCAGCAGCCGCGGUAAUACGUAGGUGGCGAGCGUUAUCCGGAAUGAUUGGGCGUAAAGGGUGCGUAGGCGGCCCGUUAAGUCUGGAGUCAAAGCCGGCAGCUCAACUGUCGUACGCUUUGGAAACUGGCGGGCUGGAGUGCAGAAGAGGGCGAUGGAACUCCAUGUG